rnacentral:tRNA from 1 species
UCCCAUGUGUGUAGUGGUUAGCAUUUGGCGCUUUCACCGCCAAGGCCCGGGUUCAAUUCCCGGUGUGGGAA